GAUCGAUGAUCUACGGAAGCCCGGUCACGACAUCUGUAGGUAGGCAAGUUAGUUAGCGCGUUACCAAGAUAUCGUGCAAAUUGACUUGACGAGUUCGCAACUUUGCAUGCGUGUUAGUUAACGAGUUGCAAAAAAAAUCUCAACAAAAAUCUUUGGUUUGUUAUCGUUAUGGUAAAGGGGUAAUAAUUUGGAUGAGCCUGAUUGAGCAGUUGACAUGAAGUGUUAGUUCCGUAUAUCGAGCUGAGUGAAAUAUAAACUGUUGGUCAAAAUAAACAAUGGUUUGAAAUACUGAAGAGAUUAGUGAAUUUCUUUGUAAAGUCAUUUAUAAUAACACAAUUUUCUCAAUAAUCUUGGAUACAAAUCAUUGUGGUUACGAUUAAGAUUAAAGUAUGGAUUAGACGUUUACAGAAAUACAGUGUUAGAAUUGCUCCAUAUUUUAGAUCCAAAAGGGAUUGAGGAAAUAUCUAAAUAUCGUCUCAAGAGAAGAGUUUACAAAGUAGGUGGGCCAAAUUAUUUGUGGCAUUUCGACGACCACGACAAAUUAAAACCCUUUGGAUUUCCAAUUCAUGGAUGUAUAGAUGGAUACUCCAGAAAAAUUACCUGGAUUCAAUUCCAACAUUAGUUCGUUCAGAUCAUGGAACAGAGAACAGUAUUGUAGAAAACGUUCAUCAAGUAUUGAGGUUUAAACACCUAGACGAAUUAUCUGGUAUUAAGAGUUUCGUUAAAGGAAAGGGCACAGCAAAUCAGAGGAUAGAAAGUUUUUGGUGAAGGCAGAAAAGUCAUGGAUUGAAUUUUUGGAUUCUAUUUUUCAAGGAUAUGGUGGAUAGUGGUCAUUUUGAUAGAGCAGAUCCGAUGCAAGUAGAAAGCUUGAGGUUUUGUUUUGGGCCCUUAAUUCAAUACGAUCUUGAUGUAAUGACAAAGGAGUGGAAUCGCCCUUCUAUAAGAAAGUAGAAAAUAGCAGUUGUUCAAUCUGGAAAACCCAACUAUUUAUAUUAUGUGCUUGAAAAAAAUGGAGCAAAGAAUUACGGCCUUCCUGUCGAAGAAGCUGCAGUUGAAAAUGCCUUGGAGAAUUUCAGUGAGAAACCAACGUACUGCAACCAAUUUUUUUUUCAAUUGAUUGAUGAAGUAUUACCAAAUGUAACGACUCCAAAGAAUGUACGAGAAGCUACAUUUUUGUAUCACAGAAUACAAGACGAAUUGAAAAAGUACAAUUAAUAUUAAAAAUGAUUUUCCGUAAAUACACGUUGAUUAAAAAUAUAAAAACUGGUUUUUGGUACACGAUUAAUGUAUGGAUUGAAAACUAUUGUUAGUCGAAAUAAGUGUAAAUAAAUUGAGGAGUAUCAUGAA